UACGUAGGGUGCGAGCGUUGUCCGGAAUUACUGGGCGUAAAGAGCUCGUAGGUGGUUUGUCGCGUUGUUCGUGAAAACUCACAGCUUAACUGUGGGCGUGCGGGCGAUACGGGCAGACUGGAGUACUGCAGGGGAGACUGGAAUUCCUGGUGUAGCGAUGGAAUGCGCAGAUAUCAGGAGGAACACCGGUGGCGAAGGCGGGUCUCUGGGCAGUAAACUGACGCUGGAGGAGCGAAAAGCCGUGGGGAGCGAACAGG
rnacentral:rRNA from 1 species